GACGAACGCUGGCGGCGUGCUUAACACAUGCAAGUCGAACGGUAAGGCCCUUUCGGGGGUACACGAGUGGCGCACGGGUGAGUAACACGUGGGUGAUCUGCCCUGCACUUUGGGAUAAGCCUGGGAAACUGGGUCUAAUACCGGAUAGGACUACGCGAUGCAUGUCGUGUGGUGGAAAGCUUUUGCGGUGUGGGAUGGGCCCGCGGCCUAUCAGCUUGUUGGUGGGGUGAUGGCCUACCAAGGCGACGACGGGUAGCCGGCCUGAGAGGGUGUCCGGCCACACUGGGACUGAGAUACGGCCCAGACUCCUACGGGAGGCAGCAGUGGGGAAUAUUGCACAAUGGGCGCAAGCCUGAUGCAGCGACGCCGCGUGGGGGAUGACGGCCUUCGGGUUGUAAACCCCUUUCAGCACAGACGAAGCGUAAGUGACGGUAUGUGCAGAAGAAGCACCGGCCAACUACGU
rnacentral:rRNA from 1 species